rnacentral:rRNA from 1 species
AAAGGCCCCUUCGGGGGUACUCGAGUGGCGAACGGGUGAGUAACACGUGGGCAAUCUGCCCUGCACUUCGGGAUAAGCCUGGGAAACUGGGUCUAAUACCGGAUAGGACCUUUAGGCGCAUGUCUUUAGGUGGAAAGCUUUUGCGGUGUGGGAUGGGCCCGCGGCCUAUCAGCUUGUUGGUGGGGUGAUGGCCUACCAAGGCGACGACGGGUAGCCGGCCUGAGAGGGUGUCCGGCCACACUGGGACUGAGAUACGGCCCAGACUCCUACGGGAGGCAGCAGUGGGGAAUAUUGCACAAUGGGCGCAAGCCUGAUGCAGCGACGCCGCGUGGGGGAUGACGGCCUUCGGGUUGUAAACCUCUUUCACCAUCGACGAAGGUCCGGGUUUUCUCGGAUUGACGGUAGGUGGAGAAGAAGCACCGGCCAACUACGUGCCAGCAGCCGCGGUAAUACGUAGGGUGCGAGCGUUGUCCGGAAUUACUGGGCGUAAAGAGCUCGUAGGUGGUUUGUCGCGUUGUUCGUGAAAUCUCACGGCUUAACUGUGAGCGUGCGGGCGAUACGGGCAGACUAGAGUACUGCAGGGGAGACUGGAAUUCCUGGUGUAGCGGUGGAAUGCGCAGAUAUCAGGAGGAACACCGGUGGCGAAGGCGGGUCUCUGGGCAGUAACUGACGCUGAGGAGCGAAAGCGUGGGGAGCGAACAGGAUUAGAUACCCUGGUAGUCCACGCCGUAAACGGUGGGUACUAGGUGUGGGUUUCCUUCCUUGGGAUCCGUGCCGUAGCUAACGCAUUAAGUACCCCGCCUGGGGAGUACGGCCGCAAGGCUAAAACUCAAGGAAUUGACGGGGGCCCGCACAAGCGGCGGAGCAUGUGGAUAAUUCGAUGCAACGCGAGAACCUUACCUGGGUUUGACAUGCACAGGACGCGUCUAGAGAUAGCGUCUGCUG